UCCUCCCACACUGUUCAUGCUGCACUGUUGGAGAUAGGACUGGAUGUGAUGCAGGGUCAGUUUGCCCUGGAAAUGCCUGUGUGUUCGCUGCGUGGAUGAGUUCAUUGGAUUCAUAUAUCUCCAGCUGCUGGAGUCAUUUAAUUAAAUGGUGAUGCCGUGGAGCUGGCUCCUCUCCAAGGGCAGGAGCAGCAGCUUCACCUCCGGGGCAGGCAGGCUCCUGGGGAGCAAUCGCACCGCGCCAGUAACGCUGCACUCGACUCAUACAUCUCCUGACGACAGGCUUAAAGGAAACCCAACCCUGCAGGAGAGCUGCAGGGCAGAGGGAGCAUCUUCUGCACGGGGCCCUGGCACCCUGGAGGCUUCGGGCACCGUGGGGAUGAGUUCGAGGUGAUGCUGCGCUCUCCGGGGAUGCUCUGAGCUCCCCUCUGUGCCUGGAUCCAGCCUGUAACCAGCAAACUCUGUGUCAGCUGCAGGGCAGAGUCUUCUACGGGAGUGGAGCUGCUGCCCAGGGGGAAAUGGAAAUGAAAUGGGGGUGAUUUGGUGCCUUCAGCAGGGCUGGGGCAGAGCCAGGAAAACCGAGCAAUAAAUCCUGGAGCAGAAAGGAGUCAGCUGA